rnacentral:rRNA from 1 species
UUAAGCGACUAAGCGUACACGGUGGAUGCCCUGGCAGUCAGAGGCGAUGAAGGACGUGCUAAUCUGCGAUAAGCGUCGGUAAGGUGAUAUGAACCGUUAUAACCGGCGAUUUCCGAAUGGGGAAACCCAGUGUGUUUCGACACACUAUCAUUAACUGAAUCCAUAGGUUAAUGAGGCGAACCGGGGGAACUGAAACAUCUAAGUACCCCGAGGAAAAGAAAUCAACCGAGAUUCCCCCAGUAGCGGCGAGCGAACGGGGAGCAGCCCAGAGCCUGAAUCAGUGUGUGUGUUAGUGGAAGCGUCUGGAAAGGCGCGCGAUACAGGGUGACAGCCCCGUACACAAAAAUGCACAUGCUGUGAGCUCGAUGAGUAGGGCGGGACACGUGGUAUCCUGUCUGAAUAUGGGGGGACCAUCCUCCAAGGCUAAAUACUCCUGACUGACCGAUAGUGAACCAGUACCGUGAGGGAAAGGCGAAAAGAACCCCGGCGAGGGGAGUGAAAAAGAACCUGAAACCGUGUACGUACAAGCAGUGGGAGCACAGAGCAAUCUGUGUGACUGCGUACCUUUUGUAUAAUGGGUCAGCGACUUAUAUUCUGUAGCAAGGUUAACCGAAUAGGGGAGCCGAAGGGAAACCGAGUCUUAACUGGGCGUUAAGUUGCAGGGUAUAGACCCGAAACCCGGUGAUCUAGCCAUGGGCAGGUUGAAGGUUGGGUAACACUAACUGGAGGACCGAACCGACUAAUGUUGAAAAAUUAGCGGAUGACUUGUGGCUGGGGGUGAAAGGCCAAUCAAACCGGGAGAUAGCUGGUUCUCCCCGAAAGCUAUUUAGGUAGCGCCUCGUGAAUUCAUCUCCGGGGGUAGAGCACUGUUUCGGCAAGGGGGUCAUCCCGACUUACCAACCCGAUGCAAACUGCGAAUACCGGAGAAUGUUAUCACGGGAGACACACGGCGGGUGCUAACGUCCGUCGUGAAGAGGGAAACAACCCAGACCGCCAGCUAAGGUCCCAAAGUCAUGGUUAAGUGGGAAACGAUGUGGGAAGGCCCAGACAGCCAGGAUGUUGGCUUAGAAGCAGCCAUCAUUUAAAGAAAGCGUAAUAGCUCACUGGUCGAGUCGGCCUGCGCGGAAGAUGUAACGGGGCUAAACCAUGCACCGAAGCUGCGGCAGCGACGCUUAUGCGUUGUUGGGUAGGGGAGCGUUCUGUAAGCCUGCGAAGGUGUGCUGUGAGGCAUGCUGGAGGUAUCAGAAGUGCGAAUGCUGACAUAAGUAACGAUAAAGCGGGUGAAAAGCCCGCUCGCCGGAAGACCAAGGGUUCCUGUCCAACGUUAAUCGGGGCAGGGUGAGUCGACCCCUAAGGCGAGGCCGAAAGGCGUAGUCGAUGGGAAACAGGUUAAUAUUCCUGUACUUGGUGUUACUGCGAAGGGGGGACGGAGAAGGCUAUGUUGGCCGGGCGACGGUUGUCCCGGUUUAAGCGUGUAGGCUGGUUUUCCAGGCAAAUCCGGAAAAUCAAGGCUGAGGCGUGAUGACGAGGCACUACGGUGCUGAAGCAACAAAUGCCCUGCUUCCAGGAAAAGCCUCUAAGCAUCAGGUAACAUCAAAUCGUACCCCAAACCGACACAGGUGGUCAGGUAGAGAAUACCAAGGCGCUUGAGAGAACUCGGGUGAAGGAACUAGGCAAAAUGGUGCCGUAACUUCGGGAGAAGGCACGCUGAUAUGUAGGUGAAGUCCCUCGCGGAUGGAGCUGAAAUCAGUCGAAGAUACCAGCUGGCUGCAACUGUUUAUUAAAAACACAGCACUGUGCAAACACGAAAGUGGACGUAUACGGUGUGACGCCUGCCCGGUGCCGGAAGGUUAAUUGAUGGGGUUAGCGCAAGCGAAGCUCUUGAUCGAAGCCCCGGUAAACGGCGGCCGUAACUAUAACGGUCCUAAGGUAGCGAAAUUCCUUGUCGGGUAAGUUCCGACCUGCACGAAUGGCGUAAUGAUGGCCAGGCUGUCUCCACCCGAGACUCAGUGAAAUUGAACUCGCUGUGAAGAUGCAGUGUACCCGCGGCAAGACGGAAAGACCCCGUGAACCUUUACUAUAGCUUGACACUGAACAUUGAGCCUUGAUGUGUAGGAUAGGUGGGAGGCUUUGAAGUGUGGACGCCAGUCUGCAUGGAGCCGACCUUGAAAUACCACCCUUUAAUGUUUGAUGUUCUAACGUGGACCCGUAAUCCGGGUUGCGGACAGUGUCUGGUGGGUAGUUUGACUGGGGCGGUCUCCUCCUAAAGAGUAACGGAGGAGCACGAAGGUUGGCUAAUCCUGGUCGGACAUCAGGAGGUUAGUGCAAUGGCAUAAGCCAGCUUGACUGCGAGCGUGACGGCGCGAGCAGGUGCGAAAGCAGGUCAUAGUGAUCCGGUGGUUCUGAAUGGAAGGGCCAUCGCUCAACGGAUAAAAGGUACUCCGGGGAUAACAGGCUGAUACCGCCCAAGAGUUCAUAUCGACGGCGGUGUUUGGCACCUCGAUGUCGGCUCAUCACAUCCUGGGGCUGAAGUAGGUCCCAAGGGUAUGGCUGUUCGCCAUUUAAAGUGGUACGCGAGCUGGGUUUAGAACGUCGUGAGACAGUUCGGUCCCUAUCUGCCGUGGGCGCUGGAGAAUGAGGGGGGCUGCUCCUAGUACGAGAGGACCGGAGUGGACGCAUCACUGGUGUUCGGGUUGUCAUGCCAAUGGCACUGCCCGGUAGCUAAAUGCGGAAGAGAUAAGUGCUGAAAGCAUCUAAGCACGAAACUUGCCCCGAGAUGAGUUCUCCCUGACUCCUUGAGAGUCCUGAAGGAACGUUGAAGACGACGACGUUGAUAGGCCGGGUGUGUAAGCGCAGCGAUGCGUUGAGCUAACCGGUACUAAUGAACCGUGAGGCUUAACCUU